rnacentral:rRNA from 1 species
CUGGCUCAGGAUGAACGCUGGCGGUGUGGAUAAGGCAUGCAAGUCGAGCGGGUUUAGACCCGCGGCAAACGGGCUAGUAACACGUGGGAAUCUACCCUGAAGUCGUGAAUAACCAUUUGAAAAGAUGGAUAAUACACGAUGUACUCUCCGGAGUAAAGAUUUAUCGCUUCAGGAGGAGCCCGCGUCCUAUCAGCUUGUUGGUGAGGUAAAAGCUCACCAAGGCAAUGACGGGUAGGGGGUGUGAGAGCAUGGCCCCCAGCGUUGGCACUGAGACACUGGCCAAACUCCUACGGGAGGCUGCAGUCGAGAAUAUUCCACAAUGGGCGAAAGCCUGAUGGAGCGACACCGCGUGCGAGAUGAAGGCCCUAGGGUCGUAAAUCGCUUUUAUUAGGGAUCAAUGUACUGAGCGUACCUAACGAAUAAGAGGUUACUAACUCUGUGCCAGCAGUAGCGGUAAUACAGAGACCUCAAGCGUUAUCCGGAUUUAUUGGGCGUAAAGCGUAUGUAGGCGGGUGUGUUAGUCGUGGGUCAAAUUUUCGAGCUCAACUCGGAAGCUGCUUACGAAACGGCACAUCUAGAGAAAGUGAGAGAUGACUGGAACUCAUGGUGUAGUAGUGAAAUGCGUUGAUAUCAUGGGGAACACCAAAGGCGAAGGCAGGUCAUUGGCACUUUUCUGACGCUGAGAUACGAAAGCGUGGGUAGCGAAUGGGAUUAGAUACCCCAGUAGUCCACGCCGUAAACGAUGCAUAUUCAGCAUGUGGAGUAUCGACCCUCUGCGUGUUUUAGCUAACGCGUUAAAUAUGCCGCCUGGGAAGUACGAGCGCAAGCUUAAAACUCAAAGGAAUAGACGGGGAUCCGCACAAGUGGUGGAGCAUGUGGUUUAAUUCGACAAUAAGCGAGAAACCUCACCAGGACUAGAAACUUAGCUGCAAGCCUUAGAAAUAAGGCCGCCUUCGAGGGUGCUAAGCAGGUGCUGCAUGGUCGUCGUCAGCUCGUGCCGUAAGGUGUUCCCUUAAGUGGGGAAACGAGCGCAACCCUUGUCGUAUGUUAUAUAUGUCAUACGAGACUGCCCCGACUUUUGUUUUUAAUCAAUUGAGAUUGAAGCCAAAAGUCGGGGAGGAAGGAGAGGAUGACGUCAGAUCAGCAUGGCCCUUGACGUCCUGGGCAACACACGUGCUACAAUGGCUAGAAUAAAGGGUUGCCAAACCGCGAGGUGGAGCCAAUCCCAAAAAUCUAGUCUCAGUUCGGAUUGGAGUCUGCAACUCGACUCCAUGAAGUCGGAAUCACUAGUAAUCGUGAAUCAGAAUGUCACGGUGAAUACGUUCUCGGAUCCUGUACUCACCGCCCGUCAUACCAAGAGAGCUGGUAACACCCAAAGCUCCU